UACGGAGGGUGCGAGCGUUGUCCGGAAUCACUGGGCGUAAAGGGCGCGUAGGCGGCAUGCCAAGCGUGUGGUGAAAGCCCGGGGCUCAACCCCGGGUCGGCCGUGCGGACUGGCGUGCUCGAGCACUGUAGGGGCGGGUGGAAUUCCGGGUGUAGCGGUGGAAUGCGUAGAGAUCCGGAAGAACACCGGUGGCGAAGGCGGUCUGCUGGGCAGUUGCUGACACUGAUGCGCGACAGCGUGGGGAGCAAACAGG
rnacentral:rRNA from 1 species